AUUGAACGCUGGCGGCAUGCCUUACACAUGCAAGUCGAACGGCAGCACGGGAUCAAUCCUGGUGGCGAGUGGCGAACGGGUGAGUAAAGUAUCGGAACGUGCCCAGUCGUGGGGGAUAACGUAGCGAAAGUUACGCUAAUACCGCAUACGAUCUAUGGCUGAAAGCGGGGGAUCGCAAGACCUCGCGCGAUUGGAGCGGCCGAUAUCAGAUUAGGUAGUUGGUGGGGUAAAGGCUCACCAAGCCGACGAUCCGUAGCUGGUCUGAGAGGACGGCAGGCCACACUGGGACGGAGACAAGGCCCAGAGCCAUACGGGAGGCAGGAGUGGGGAAUUUUGGAAAAUGGGCGAAAGCCUGAUCCAGCCAUGCCGCGGGCAGGAUGAAGGCUUUCGGGUUGUAAACUGCUUUUGUACGGAACGAAAAGGUUGGGCCUAAUAAGCUGAGCUAAUGAGGGUCCCGUAAGAAUAAGCACCGGCUAACUACGUGCCAGCCCCCGCCGUAA
rnacentral:rRNA from 1 species